rnacentral:rRNA from 1 species
GAUGAACGCUGGCGGCGUGCUUAACACAUGCAAGUCGAACGAUGAAGCCCAGCUUGCUGGGUGGAUUAGUGGCGAACGGGUGAGUAACACGUGAGUAACCUGCCCUUGACUCUGGGAUAAGCCCGGGAAACUGGGUCUAAUACCGGAUAGGAGCGCCUGUCGCAUGACGGGUGUUGGAAAGAUUUUUCGGUCAUGGAUGGACUCGCGGCCUAUCAGCUUGUUGGUGAGGUAAUGGCUCACCAAGGCGACGACGGGUAGCCGGCCUGAGAGGGGGACCGGCCACACUGGGACUGAGACACGGCCCAGACUCCUACGGGAGGCAGCAGUGGGGAAUAUUGCACAAUGGGCGGAAGCCUGAUGCAGCGACGCCGCGUGAGGGAUGACGGCCUUCGGGUUGUAAACCUCUUUCAGUAGGGAAGAAGCGAAAGUGACGGUACCUGCAGAAGAAGCACCGGCUAACUACGUG